rnacentral:rRNA from 1 species
CUACGGGGGGCAGCAGUGGGGAAUAUUGGACAAUGGGCGAAAGCCUGAUCCAGCCAUGCCGCGUGUGUGAAGAAGGCCUUCGGGUUGUAAAGCACUUUCAGUGGGGAAGAAAGCCUUGGGGCUAAUACCCUCGAGGAAGGACAUCACCCACAGAAGAAGCACCGGCUAACUCCGUGCCAGCAGCCGCGGUAAUACGGAGGGUGCGAGCGUUAAUCGGAAUUACUGGGCGUAAAGCGCGCGUAGGCGGUCUGAUAAGCCGGUUGUGAAAGCCCCGGGCUCAACCUGGGAACGGCAUCCGGAACUGUCAGGCUAGAGUGCAGGAGAGGAAGGUAGAAUUCCCGGUGUAGCGGUGAAAUGCGUAGAGAUCGGGAGGAAUACCAGUGGCGAAGGCGGCCUUCUGGACUGACACUGACGCUGAGGUGCGAAAGCGUGGGUAGCAAACAGGAUUAGAUACCCGGGUAGUC